CUGCGAGUGAAGCGGGAAAAGCUCAAAUUUAAAAUCUGGCAGUCUUUGGCUGUCCGAGUUGUAAUCUAGAGAAGUGUUAUCCGCGUUGGACCGUGUACAAGUCUCCUGGAAUGGAGCGUCAUAGAGGGUGAGAAUCCCGUCUUUGACACGGACUGCCAGGGCUUUUGUGAUGCGCUCUCAAAGAGUCGAGUUGUUUGGGAAUGCAGCUCAAAAUGGGUGGUAAAUUCCAUCUAAAGCUAAAUAUUGGCGAGAGACCGAUAGCGAACAAGUACCGUGAGGGAAAGAUGAAAAGAACUUUGGAAAGAGAGUUAAACAGUACGUGAAAUUGCUGAAAGGGAAACGCUUGAAGUCAGUCGCGUUGUCCAGGGAUCAACCUUGCUUUUGCUUGGUGUACUUUCUGGUUGACGGGUCAGCAUCAAUUUUGACUAUUGGAAAAAUUUCAAGGGAAUGUGGCAUCUUCGGGUGUGUUAUAGCCCUUUUUUGUAUACAAUGGUUAGGAUUGAGGAACUCAGCACGCCGCAAGGCCGGGUUUUUAACCACGUACGUGCUUAGGAUGCUGGCAUAAUGGCUUUAAUCGACCCGUCUUGAAACACGGACCAAGGAGUCUAACAUACCUGCGAGUGUUUGGGUGGAAAACCCGAGCGCGUAAUGAAAGUGAAAGUUGAGAUCCCUGUCAUGGGGAGCAUCGACGCCCGGACCAGACCUUUUGUGACGGCUCCGCGGUAGAGCAUGUAUGUUGGGACCCGAAAGAUGGUGAACUAUGCCUGAAUAGGGUGAAGCCAGAGGAAACUCUGGUGGAGGCUCGUAGCGAUUCUGACGUGCAAAUCGAUCGUCAAAUUUG
rnacentral:rRNA from 2 species